ACAGCAGCCGCCACGGUAAUACAGAGGGUGCGAGCGUUAAUCGGAUUUACUGGGCGUAAAGCGUGCGUAGGCGGCUUCUUAAGUCGGAUGUAAAAUCACUGAGCUUAACUUAGGAAUUGCAUUCGAUACUGGGAAGCUAGAGUAUGGGAGAGGAUGGUAGAAUUCCAGGUGUAGCGGUGAAAUGCGUAGAGAUCUGGAGGAAUACCGAUGGCGAAGGCAGCCAUCUGGCCUAAUACUGACGCUGAGGUACGAAAGCAUGGGGAGCAAACAGGAUUAGAUACCCCCGUAGUCCCUGUCUCUUAUAC
rnacentral:rRNA from 1 species